GUCAACCUGAUUUUAGGUGAAUGAAGUAGAUGUUGUCCAGAGGACCUGAGUGUAUCAGGCAAGAUUAUACAGGAGGAAUUUGAUGGUGUGCUUCUUGAAGAGAUGGUCGCUGAAGCUUUGCACAAACUGGGGCGUUCAGCCCCUGGCACAGAACAUGUCUACCUUGAUCUUUCCCUUUCAGAUCGCCUUUUAAGUGACAUUAAUAUUCUCUCCAGAUAUGUUCAUCUUGAGAAGCUAGAUCUUUCCAACAAUAAAAUCGAUGGUACGUGGUCAUCACUUUUGUAAACCUCUGGACUGUAAAACCAUUUCAGGCAGCAGAGGAAAUGUGUUGGACCACUCAGCUCUCUUAUUAUAAAUGCAGUUCUUGGCUCCACUUAAGUAGCUCUUCAGAAUGAUUGGAUCCCCUGGAGAAUGUUAAGAUAGCCUUGUUCAAGUCCAUAUAACAUGCCAUAAUGACAUAUGCUCAACGACUAGAACAUAAAGAUUAUUGUCCAGUUUAUUAUCUGGAAAUAAAAUGCAAACAACCAUGUUAGUUCUGAAGCCGGAGCUGAGAUUAAACAUUAGGAACAGACUUGUAUUGAGUCAGAUCAAUGAUCCACCUAGCCUUGCGGCUGUCUGUACUCUCCAGGUUUGGAAGCAGAGGUCUUUCUUGCA